AUUUUCAACGGAAAUAUGGGCGGGGUCUGUUUAGGUUUUUUGUGUGAAUGACUUCCGGUUAAGCACUUCCGGGCAACAGUUAGCUAGUUUACAUAUCUCACUGUCGCUUCUUACAACUUACCAAAUAUGGACGAAAAACAGGCAUUUUAUGAUCGAUGAAGACAAUUGUGAUGUGGAGUCUGAUCUGAGUGUGCCAAUGGCACUGCAGCAUAAAGAUGCUGAUACUCAAUGGGAUGUUCCAGCACUGACUGAUCACAGCUAUGUGUCAAGAGAACCAGUCAACAAGCCCAUCUGCCACAAACAAACCCAAUGUGGUGGUGCAGAGUCAUUGACCCACACCAUCCUGAAGAAUGACACUAGCUCAGUGUUGUAUACUGGCCUUCCUCUAAGUGUUUUCUUUAACCAUGUAGCAUUUCUGCAUAAAUUCUACACGGCUAACUUCAAAAUGCAUAUCACUGAUCAAAUACUGAUAACCUUGAUAAAGCUGAAUCUAUUCCACAGUGAUAUUGCUGAACACUUUGCUGUGUCCCAGGGAGUAGUGAGCAGAAUCCUUUCCUACUGGAUUGACACAAUGGAGGAGCUCAUGAGGAUCUACAUUCCAUGGCAGCCGAGGUUAGACAAUCCAGAAGACGCUGCCUCAGUGCUUCAAGGAGAAGUUAACCAACACCACUUGCAUCAUCCACUGCUCUGAGACCAUUCUCCAGAAAGCACACAAUCUCGAUUCCAGAUGGGAGUCAUACAGCCACUAUUAUUCCAGCAAUACUCUCAAGUAUUUGGUUGCCAUUGCUCUAUGUGGACUCAUUAUGUUAAUUUCUCCUGCAUAUAGAGGCAGAUGCAGUGACAAGUUCAUCACCCAAAACUCUGGCUUCCUGGAAUACCUUAGGCUUGGCGAUGAAGUUAUGGCUGACGGGCUUCACCAUCCGAGAUCUGCUGUAUGAGAGGAAGGUAAACCUUGCCAUACCAGCCUUCACGCGGAAAGGAGGCCAGCUGUCUGGCGAGGAUGUCGCAAGCACAAGAAGAAUAGUUAAUGUGCAUAUACAUGUUUAGAGAGUUAUCAGACUCAAGGUGUUCAAAUCCUCUUCCAGACCCAUCAACCUGACACACAAAAUGGACAAAGUCCUUAGAAUCUGUGCAGCCCUUGUUAACAUGCAGGGUGAGAUCAUCCAUGAGGAUGCAGAAUGAGCAGUGAGAAUGUUCAUACAUUUGAAAUGUAACUUUAAACACUAUCAUUUCAUCCACCUGCGAUACUAUGUAUGUAUGUAUGAAAAUGUAUUUGAAAUAGAUUUAAAAAGGCAUUAUAGCAGCACCUAGUGGAUGCCUGUAAUUAUCAGGAACCGGCAAAAUUACAGUAGAUUUCAAAUAUUUGAAAUACAUUUUCUUCAACACAAAUGUCACUAACAGACCAAGAGGGAAGACAAAUGUUUGUCAAGUGACACAAUUUUUCUUAAUUUGUGCCCUUGAAAACCAAACCCAGAAUCAAACUGAAAACACCUUUGAAUACUUGCCUCCUCAUCCUACUUUUCAAAAUGGUAAGUAUCAAAGAAAAGGUCAAAGUGGAGUUUCAUAAUGUUUUUAUUAACUCCGUAAGUUGCUAAGUGCAAGAUGAGUUCACGAAGUGCCAUAUGAAAAAAGAGCUAUACAAGGUACGAUUAAAAUAUUCAUCAAUCAUAA